CCCUGGGUAGCGCAAAUGGUGAAGCGCUCGGCUGCUAACCGAAAGGCUGGAAGUUUGACUCCACCCAGAGA
rnacentral:tRNA from 1 species